rnacentral:rRNA from 1 species
ACCCGCUGAAUUUAAGCAUAUCAAUAAGCGGAGGAAAAGAAACCAACAGGGAUUGCCUCAGUAACGGCGAGUGAAGCGGCAACAGCUCAAAUUUGAAAUCUGGCCUCACGGUCCGAGUUGUAAUUUGUAGAGGAUGCUUUUGGCGAGGUGCUUUCCGAGUUCCCUGGAACGGGACGCCAUAGAGGGUGAGAGCCCCGUACGGUAAGACCACCGAGCCUCUGUAAAGCUCCUUCGACGAGUCGAGUAGUUUGGGAAUGCUGCUCUAAAUGGGAGGUGUACGUCUUCUAAGCUAAAUACCGGCCAGAGACCGAUAGCGCACAAGUAGAGUGAUCGAAAGAUGAAAAGCACUUUGAAAAGAGGGUUAAAAAGUACGUGAAAUUGUUGAAAGGGAAGCAUUCAUGACCAGACUUGGGCUUGGUUGAACAUCCGGCGUUCUCGCCGGUGCACUCUGCCAGUCCAGGCCAGCAUCAGUUUGCCCCGGGGGACAAAGGCGGUGGGAAUGUGGCUCCCUUCGGGGAGUGUUAUAGCCCGCCGUGUAAUGCCCUGGGGCGGACUGAGGAACGCGCUUCGGCACGGAUGCUGGCGUAAUGGUCAUCAAUGACCCGUCUUGAAACACGGACCAAGGAG